GAUGAACGCUGGCGGCGUGCCUAAUACAUGCAAGUCGAGCGAACAGACGAGGAGCUUGCUCCUCUGACGUUAGCGGCGGACGGGUGAGUAACACGUGGAUAACCUACCUAUAAGACUGGGAUAACUUCGGGAAACCGGAGCUAAUACCGGAUAAUAUAUUGAACCGCAUGGUUCAAUAGUGAAAGACGGUUUUGCUGUCACUUAUAGAUGGAUCCGCGCCGCAUUAGCUAGUUGGUAAGGUAACGGCUUACCAAGGCAACGAUGCGUAGCCGACCUGAGAGGGUGAUCGGCCACACUGGAACUGAGACACGGUCCAGACUCCUACGGGAGGCAGCAGUAGGGAAUCUUCCGCAAUGGGCGAAAGCCUGACGGAGCAACGCCGCGUGAAUGAUGAAGGUCUUCGGAUCGUAAAACUCUGUUAUUAGGGAAGAACAAAUGUGUAAGUAACUAUGCACGUCCUGACGGUACCUAAUCAGAAAGCCACGGCUAACUACGUG
rnacentral:rRNA from 1 species